AGCCAUGCAUGUCUAAGUAUAAAUGUUAUACAGUGAAACUGCGAAUGGCUCAUUAAAACAGUUAUAGUUUAUUUGAUAAUCGAAUUUUACAUGGAUAACCGUGGUAAUUCUAGAGCUAAUACAUGCUGGUUAGCCUGACUUCUAGGAAGGGCUGUAUUUAUUAGAUAACAAACCAAUAUUCCUCGUGUCUAUUGUGAUGACUCAUAAUAACUGAUCGAAUCGCAUGGGCCUUGCCCGCGAUACAUCAUUCAAGUUUCUGCCCCAUCAGCUUUCGAUGGUAGUGUAUUGGACUACCAUGGCUUUAACGGGUAACGGAGGAUUAGGGUUCGAUUCCGGAGAGGGAGCCUGAGAAACGGCUACCACAUCUAAGGAAGGCAGCAGGCGCGUAAAUUACCCAAUCCUGACUCAGGGAGGUAGUGACAAGAAAUAACGGACCGAGGCUUCACGCUUCGGGAUUGCAAUGAGUAGAAUUUAAACCCCUUUACGAGGAUCAAUUAGAG
rnacentral:rRNA from 1 species